GUCCCGUUAGCUCAGCUGGAUAGAGCGUCUGCCUCCGGAGCAGAAGGCCACAGGUUCGAAUCCUGCACGGGACACCC
rnacentral:tRNA from 2 species